rnacentral:ncRNA from 1 species
UUCACUAGGGGAGCCAUGAAUUGGCUGAGAGAAGCUUGAAGCUUUGACCCUUAUAACCUGAUCUAGAUCAUACUAGCGGAGGGAAGUGAAG